rnacentral:rRNA from 1 species
GAUGAACGCUGGCGGCGUGCUUAACACAUGCAAGUCGAACGAUGAAGCCCAGCUUGCUGGGUGGAUUAGUGGCGAACGGGUGAGUAACACGUGAGUAACCUGCCCUUAACUCUGGGAUAAGCCUGGGAAACUGGGUCUAAUACCGGAUAGGAGCGUCCACCGCAUGGUGGGUGUUGGAAAGAUUUAUCGGUUUUGGAUGGACUCGCGGCCUAUCAGCUUGUUGGUGAGGUAAUGGCUCACCAAGGCGACGACGGGUAGCCGGCCUGAGAGGGUGACCGGCCACACUGGGACUGAGACACGGCCCAGACCCCUACGGGAGGCAGCAGUGGGGAAUAUUGCACAAUGGGCGCAAGCCUGAUGCAGCGACGCCGCGUGAGGGAUGACGGCCUUCGGGUUGUAAACCUCUUUCAGUAGGGAAGAAGCGAAAGUGACGGUACCUGCAGAAGAAGCACCGGCUAACUACGUG